rnacentral:tRNA from 1 species
GGGAUUGUGGCUCAGUGGUAGAGCACUUGCCUAGCAUGUAUGAGGCACUGAGUUUUAUUCUCAGCACCA